rnacentral:sRNA from 1 species
GACAGAAUGGCAGUACGUGUUUCUUAUAGCCAGCUUGAUUCACUUCGCUGGUGUCAUCUUCUACGGCAUAUUCGCUUCGGGAGAGAAACAGCCAUGGGCGGAUCCUCCUGGUGAGGAAACGUGGAGACCAGAACAUACUCUCAGACCCAACGACGAAAGCUGGAAGUUCAGUAACCAUGGCAACCCUCACUACGACGGCGGCAAGACCAACUACGGGGCCACCACGGACAAAGGUUACGACGACUUUGUGCCCACCCAGUACAGUCCAGUCUACGAGACCAAGGAGAGCUUCGUCCAGAAACCAGCCAAAGAAAAAUACUACAGCGACGACAGUGAUAGGGGAUUCUAGAUAUAAAAAACUUGUGGCUAGGUUUUUUUUGUUUGUUUUUUACUUUAACUGUUUUCCCUGUUGAUGAGUUAUUGUAGAACGCUCGGCGUAGUAGACACUGUAUGACUCUUACUUUUUAUUUAUUUACUGUUUCAUCGAUACAAAGACAUAGUACUCAUUAUUAGUAAAACAUACAAUUGUAAGUUAACAAAAAAAAAUACUCAGUAAACACGAACACUUUUUGUAAUGUCAUUAGGUGUCAUGGACAGCGCCUCUAAAUUGACUUGUGCGAACAUUUUAUUAUCGCAUAAAAGGAAGCAACUCAACGAGGGUUAAUAGUCAAAGAUCAUGGGUGCUUAUUAGUAAUGACAAAAGCAAACACUGACUUCAAGACUUCACACACACUGGGUCUAGUUCCUUGGUUCGCAUGUCCUUGCUAGCGAACCGCUUUCUUGACCAGUGACUAAAUUUUCAGUGUAGCUCCAAGUCAGCAAACCUGGUAUCAUGCAAGACGAAGUACACCUCUUUUCUAACAUAGUUCCGGAUCUCCCAACUCUCUGUUGCUUCGGGCAGACGGAAAUACUACUCACAUAAACAGUCCCUGUCUCUCUUCGCAGUCAUGUCUCUCUGUGCAGUCAUGUCUCUCUCCACAGUCAUGUCUCCUCUAUCCUCAGUCAUGUCUGUCUCCGCAGUCAUGUCUUUUGUCCGUGUUCACUUGUGCGCAAACAUAGGCGCCGGUGAAGGGGCUUAAGUACUAAAAUACAAAUUAAAAAACAAGCAAAAGAAAAAAGAACACUUA